AAACCAACCGGGAUUGCCUUAGUAACGGCGAGUGAAGCGGCAAAAGCUCAAAUUUGAAAUCUGGUACCUUCGGUGCCCGAGUUGUAAUUUGGAGAGGGCAACUUUGGGGCCGUUCCUUGUCUAUGUUCCUUGGAACAGGACGUCAUAGAGGGUGAGAAUCCCGUGUGGCGAGGAGUGCGGUUCUUUGUAAAGUGCCUUCGAAGAGUCGAGUUGUUUGGGAAUGCAGCUCUAAGUGGGUGGUAAAUUCCAUCUAAAGCUAAAUAUUGGCGAGAGACCGAUAGCGAACAAGUACAGUGAUGGAAAGAUGAAAAGAACUUUGAAAAGAGAGUGAAAAAGUACGUGAAAUUGUUGAAAGGGAAGGGCAUUUGAUCAGACAUGGUGUUUUGUGCCCUCUGCUCCUUGUGGGUAGGGGAAUCUCGCAUUUCACUGGGCCAGCAUCAGUUUUGGUGGCAGGAUAAAUCCAUAGGAAUGUAGCUUGCCUCGGUAAGUAUUAUAGCCUGUGGGAAUACUGCCAGCUGGGACUGAGGACUGCGACGUAAGUCAAGGAUGCUGGCAUAAUGGUUAUAUGCCGCCCGU
rnacentral:rRNA from 1 species